GACAGAGGUGCCAAGCGUUAGGCGGAAUCACUGGGCUUAAAGCGUGUGUAGGCGGAUCGUUAAGUACCUUGUGAAAUCCCACGGCUCAACCGUGGAACUGCUGGGUAUACUGGCGAUCUUGAGCCACCUAGGGGCGAGCGGAACAAGCGGUGGAGCGGUGAAAUGCGUAGAUAUCGAGAGGAACACCUGCGGCGAAGGCGGGUUGCUGGGCUGACACUGACGCUGAGGCGCGAAAGCCAGGGGAGCGAACGGG
rnacentral:rRNA from 1 species